AGCGGUGGAGCAUGUGGUUUAAUUCGAUGCAACGCGAAGAACCUUACCUACUCUUGACAUCCACAGAACUUAGCAGAGAUGCUUAGGUGCCUUCGGGAACUGUGAGACAGGUGCUGCAUGGCUGUCGUCAGCUCGUGUUGUGAAAUGUUGGGUUAAGUCCCGCAACGAGCGCAACCCUUAUCCUUUGUUGCCAGCACGUAAUGGUGGGAACUCAAGGGAGACUGCCGGUGACAAACCGGAGGAAGGUGGGGAUGACGUCAAGUCAUCAUGGCCCUUACGAGUAGGGCUACACACGUGCUACAAUGGCAGAUACAAAGUGAAGCGAACUCGCGAGAGCAAGCGGACCACAUAAAGUCUGUCGUAGUCCGGAUUGGAGUCUGCAACUCGACUCCAUGAAGUCGGAAUCGCUAGUAAUCGUAGAUCAGAAUGCUACGGUGA
rnacentral:rRNA from 1 species